rnacentral:lncRNA from 1 species
AGGGAAGAUGAGCGAGGUGGCUACGACCGCGACUCCGUUCCCUCACAGGACCAAGCUUUACAAAGUCCAGCACUCGAUUAACUGGAAGGAUCCUGGGACGGCAGCUGAGAGCAGUUUCUUGCAGCAGACGAGGAGCUUCUAUAGCUACAUGGCUCCUUAUGUGACGCAGAACCCUAGACACACGUAUCUCAACUACAGGGAUUUGGAUAUUGGUGUUAAUACUCACGGGCCGAAUAGUUACAGAGAGGCUGAGGUUUAUGGGAGGAAGUACUUUGGAGAGAAUUUCGAUAGGUUGGUGAAAGUGAAAACUGCCGUAGAUCCGCAAAACUUCUUCAGAGAUGAACAGAGUGUACCUACCUUGCCUGGCAAGG